UACAGAGGUCCCAAGCGUUUGUUCGGAUUCAUUGGGCGUAAAGGGUGCGUAGGCGGCGCGGUAAGUCGGGUGUGAAAUCUCGGAGCUUAACUCCGAAACUGCAUUCGAUACUGCGGUGCUUUGAGGACUGGAGAGGAGACUGGAAUUUACGGUGUAGCAGUGAAAUGCGUAGAGAUCGUAAGGAAGACCAGUGGCGAAGGCGGGGUCUCUGGACAGUUCCUGACACUGAGGCACGAAGGCCAGGGGAGCAAACGGG
rnacentral:rRNA from 1 species